ensembl:lncRNA
CUACUGUUGAUCAGGGCCCUAUUCCCUAUAUAGUACACUACUGUUGACCAGGGCCCUAUUCCCUAUAUAGUACACUAAUUUUGAUCAGAGGCCUAUUCCCUAUAUAGUGCACUAAUUUUGAUCAGAGGCCUGUGAGGAAUAGGGGGCCAAUUGGGACGCAGACUGUAUGUGAAACUGAUCAGUUUUUAAAUGUUUCUGCGGUUCUUAUUGGUUGUCUGAUUCUCUGACCAUGUCUGUGGUUGUUAUGGUUACCGUCUGAUCCAGUUCAUACAGACUGUUUUGGUUGUUGUUUCUUUGUUCUGUUUAUCUCUCUCUCUUUUUGUGGUUUAACUGUCUGUGGUCAGGUUCUGGCCAAUCAGAUGGGUCCGUGGUCAGGUUCUGGCCAAUCAGAUGGGUCAGGUUCUGGCCAAUCAGAUGGGUCAGGUUCUGGCCAAUCAGAUGGGUCAGGUUCUGGCCAAUCAGAUGGGUCAGGUUCUGGCCAAUCAGAUGGGUCCGGGGUCAGGUUCUGGCCAAUCAGAUGGGUCCGGGGUCAGGUUCUGGCCAAUCAGAUGGGUCCGUGGUCAGGUUCUGGCCAAUCAGAUGGGUCCGUGGUCAGGUUCUGGCCAAUCAGAUGGGUCCGUGGUCAGGUUCUGGCCAAUCAGAUGGGUCCGUGGUCAGGUUCUGGCCAAUCAGAUGGGUCCGUGGUCAGGUUCUGGCCAAUCAGAUGGGUCCGUGGUCAGGUUCUGGCCAAUCAGAUGGGUCCGUGGUCAGGUUCUGGCCAAUCAGAUGGGUCUGUGGUGGUGUUGUGACUACUGCUGUCUAACUCCUCCUGGAGGACCCCUGGUGUUUCUGAUAGUUUAACUUCCGUCCGGGAUUCAAUCAAAGGCGCAUUGUGGAUUAUGAGCAAACCAAACUAGACUGUUCAAUCAAAUGUUCAGCUGACAUCCGCAGCGUUUACCAUGACAACCAGAGGAAUGAGCUGGUUAACGGUGCGACGUGGUCAGUGCACCUUUAGGUUGAAUCCCAGCCGUCUCAUUCAGACCUGGGACACCAAAUCAUGUAUCAAUUACAUGUCCCAAAAUGGCACCCUAUUCCCUAUAUAGUCCCCUACCUU